rnacentral:rRNA from 1 species
UACGUAGGUGACAAGCGUUGUCCGGAUUUACUGGGCGUAAAGAGCGCGCAGGCGGUCGUUCAAGUCGAGUGUGAAAGCCCCCGGCUCAACUGGGGAGGGUCAUUCGAUACUGAUCGACUCGAAGGCAGGAGAGGGAAGUGGAAUUCCCGGUGUAGUGGUGAAAUGCGUAGAUAUCGGGAGGAACACCAGUGGCGAAGGCGGCUCACUGGCUCGACACUGACGCUGAGGUGCGAAAGCGUGGGGAGCGAACAGG